UACGUAGGGGCCGAGCGUUGUCCGGCGUUAUUGGGCGUAAAGCGCGCGCAGGCGGCCUCGCGCGCCCGACGUGAAAGCCCCCGGCUUAACCGGGGAGGGUCGUUGGGGACGGCGGGGCUUGAGGGCGGGAGAGGGUGGUGGAAUUCCCGGUGUAGUGGUGAAAUGCGUAGAGAUCGGGAGGAACACCCGUGGCGAAGGCGGCCACCUGGGCCGACCCUGACGCUGAGGCGCGAAGGCGUGGGGAGCGAACGGG
rnacentral:rRNA from 1 species